rnacentral:ncRNA from 1 species
UACCUGAUUGAUUCUGUCAGCGCGAUAUGCUCAAGUAAAAGAUUAAGCCAUGCAUGCUUUGAUUCAUAAAUGAAAUUGCGUACGGCUCAUUAGAGCAGAUAUCACCUUUCUCGGAAUCCUGAAAAGGAUAACUGCGGAAAUUCUGGAGCUAAUACAUGCGACUAUACUCCAACGCAAGGCGGGGUGCAAUUAUUAGAACAGACCAAACGUUUUCGGACGUUGUUUGUUGACUCUGAAUACCGUCGUUUACUGUCAGUUUCGACUGACUCUAUCCGAGAAGGGUGUCUGCCCUUUCAACUAGAUGGUAAUCUAUUGGACUACCAUGGUUGUUACGGGUAACGGAGAAUUAGGGUUCGACUCCGGAGAGGGAGCCUUAGAAACGGCUACCACGUCCAAGGAAGGCAGCAGGCGCGAAACUUAUCCACUGUUGAGUAUGAGAUAGUGACUAAAAAUAUAAAGACUCAUCCUUUUGGAUGAGUUAUUUCAAUGAGUUGAAUAUAAAUUAUUCUUCGAGUAGCAAGGAGAGGGCAAGUCUGGUGCCAGCAGCCGCGGUAAUUCCAGCUCUCCUAGUGUAUCUCGUUAUUGCUGCGGUUAAAAAGCUCGUAGUUGGAUCUAGGUUACGUGCCGCAGUUCGCAAUUUGCGUUAACUGUGGUCGUGACUUCUAAUUUGCUGGUUUGAGGUUGGGUUCGCCCUUCAACUGCCAGCAGGUUUACCUUGAAUAAAUCAGAGUGCUCAAUACAGGCGCUUGCUUGAAUAGCUCAUCAUGGAAUAAUGAAACAGGACUUCGGUUCUUUUUGUUGGUUCUAGAAUUGAUCUAAUGGUUAAGAGGGACAAACCGGGGGCAUUCGUAUCAUUACGCGAGAGGUGAAAUUCGUGGACCGUAGUGAGACGCCCAAUAGCGAAAGCAUUUGCCAAGAAUGUCUUCAUUAAUCAAGAACGAAAGUCAGAGGUUCGAAGGCGAUUAGAUACCGCCCUAGUUCUGACCGUAAACGAUGCCAUCUCGCGAUUCGGAGGGUUCAUGCCCUACCGAGGAGCUACCCGGAAACGAAAGUCUUUCGGUUCCGGGGGUAGUAUGGUUGCAAAGCUGAAACUUAA